rnacentral:rRNA from 1 species
GCAUGCCUAACACAUGCAAGUCGAGCGGUAGCACAGGGGAGCUUGCUCCCCGGGUGACGAGCGGCGGACGGGUGAGUAAUGUCUGGGAAACUGCCUGAUGGAGGGGGAUAACUACUGGAAACGGUAGCUAAUACCGCAUAACGUCGCAAGACCAAAGAGGGGGACCUUCGGGCCUCUUGCCAUCAGAUGUGCCCAGAUGGGAUUAGCUAGUAGGUGGGGUAAUGGCUCACCUAGGCGACGAUCCCUAGCUGGUCUGAGAGGAUGACCAGCCACACUGGAACUGAGACACGGUCCAGACUCCUACGGGAGGCAGCAGUGGGGAAUAUUGCACAAUGGGCGCAAGCCUGAUGCAGCCAUGCCGCGUGUGUGAAGAAGGCCUUCGGGUUGUAAAGCACUUCCAGCGAGGAGGAAGGUGGUGAGCUUAAUACGUUCAUCAAUUGACGUUACUCGCAGAAGAAGCACCGGCUAACUCCGUGCCAGCAGCCGCGGUAGUACGGAGGGUGCAAGCGUUAAUCGGAAUUACUGGGCGUAAAGCGCACGCAGGCGGUUUGUUAAGUCAGAUGUGAAAUCCCCGGGCUCAACCUGGGAACUGCAUUUGAAACUGGCAAGCUAGAGUCUCGUAGAGGGGGGUAGAAUUCCAGGUGUAGCGGUGAAAUGCGUAGAGAUCUGGAGGAAUACCGGUGGCGAAGGCGGCCCCCUGGACGAAGACUGACGCUCAGGUGCGAAAGCGUGGGGAGCAAACAGGAUUAGAUACCCUGGUAGUCCACG